UUAAAUUGAAGAGUUUGAUCAUGGCUCAGAUUGAACGCUGGCGGCAGGCCUAACACAUGCAAGUCGAGCGGUAGCACAGAGAGCUUGCUCUCGGGUGACGAGCGGCGGACGGGUGAGUAAUGUCUGGGAAACUGCCUGAUGGAGGGGGAUAACUACUGGAAACGGUAGCUAA
rnacentral:rRNA from 1 species